GGGGCUCCCGCCGCCGACCCGGGACUGGCGGGGAGGAAGGCGGGCGGAGGGGACGCCGCGCCCGAGCCGCUCCUCUGGAUGGCGACAGAGACGGCCUGGCGCGCCCGCAGCCUGGGCACCCCGGAGGACGGCCUGGCCGGGUGAAGUUUGCGGACUCGGGCCUUCCGGGUCCCCUCCGCUGCCGCCGCCGAGGCCUGGAAGGCUGAGGGUGGGGGCCAGACGUCUCCUAAGGUUGGCGGCUAAUAGGACUCCUGCCCCGGGACUCACAAGAUCUCCAUCCGGCACAGGGGCUGGGGCCUUGAGCACCCCGAGAGCUUCUUUUGGAGCCAGAGACCCUUUUCUGAGGAGCCAGUAGAGGGCCUGCGAGUCGGAUUGAGCAACCAGCGAGAAGCAGCGUCCUCCCUGCAUCUUGAGGCCUGGUCCAGGGAGGUGACUGCAGAGGUUGGGGGUCCUGACAACUUUGGGGUGGUCACACACCCCUUGCCUCUGGAUGUGCAGGGUGGGCAUGGGACCCUGGCAGGGAGGGCCUUCCUCGAUGGGAUUCUGUGGAGCCAACCACUGAUGCCCAGGUCUUCACCUUCACCACUUCAUUACUUCCACCAAAGCCUUUUAUGCUGCUAAAAAGGACGUGGCUUUUAAAAUGUGACAGCUUCCAUUUCAUCCCGUCCAUGCCGAACUCCUGCGCCAGACAUGCCUUCAUUCAGCCUCUACUCGUGGAGCACCUACUAGGGCCAGGCACUGGGGCUGGGAAAGCCAACAAGACAUAGAGUUUCUGUCAGUCUGGGAAGCAGACAAGGAAACAAUUCCAGUGCAAUGUGGCAGCCGUCACGAUGGGAGGGAGUGGAGAGCCAGGAGGGAGCAUUUACCCUGAAUCAUGCUCUCGAGCGCAGCCAGGUGUGUGCCAGGGCGGGCUUCCAGUGCCAGGGCGGGCUUCUGGUAGGCUGCU